UGCAUCGGCCAGGAAUCGAACCCGGGCCGCCCGCGUGGCAGGCGAGCAUUCUACCACUAAGCCACCGAUGC
rnacentral:tRNA from 1 species